UAGCUUUUUCUGGGCGCCAUAUUGUGGGGGAGACCUGUCAAUGUUUGUUUACAAGCUCGCAUGGUUCGCCCAAAACAAGAAGAAACAAGCAGCCGAUGAAUAGUUUCGGUUCAGUUCAUUUUAAUUAACUUGUGAUUUUAUUUAUCCAUCAUUCGACCUAAUCGAUCACAUGAACGACGAUUUUCCGUUGAAAUAGGUUAAAAUUUCGCCAGCUUAUCACGUAGCCUGUGUUAAAACCGCUUUGCGGCUUGAGCUGCUGCAAGAGUUUCCGAAACUGCUCAUGGUCUCGCACCUUCGUCUACUACAGCUACCUAGUUCGAUUUGGCCACCGAACGUAUCUGUUGACCCAACUUAAGGACCAGAACGAUUUUCCAGCCACAAAGCCAUUAUCCGCAAGUAGCUUCCGUGUUAAUAUUUCAGUUCAUCAGUCGUUCUUUCUUCUCUUUUAGCUCUCCAACGGUUUCGUCUGUUUUUCUACAAAUGAACUAUAUAUUUCCCAUCUUUAAAGGUUUUAUGUAAUUUCCUGGUUAAAGCUUAAGCAUCCACCAAUAUUGUUAUCGUCAUUGCAUGGUUACGUAGAAGCAGUUUUAUACUGCUAAUGUAUUUUUACCCGGUAGUGAUUGAAGACCAGUGGCGCUGCAGAUUGGUAUCCUACAUUGUGAUAUUUCGGUUGGUGGUGUGAAAACAGUGAUCUUCUUCCGAUAAAAACGUGCAGUGAAAAAAACGCUUUAUUAUACGCAGAAACACAUUCUUUCUUGAGCGUAGAGUAUAUACAGAUAAUGAGAGGGAUGUAAUGGUAUAUCAGAACACAAACUCGAUCGACCGAAAGCAAUAGUCAUAAACACACAAAUGGUAGCCAAAUAGUACAAAAAGAAGUAAACGGAAACUUCCGUUCAGGAAAGAAUAAUUGGAGAUGAUAUAAUUCUCAAAAGAAAUCAAUGCAUUUGUGCUUAUUCCGCGCACCCGAUCGACGUGAGUUUAAAUUUCCAUUAUAUAUUUUUAUAACCCUUCAUCACCCCCAAACAAAGACGAAACAUAUACUUACAGUAUUUAUAUCUCAGAAGUGAAAGUAAUGAAUUGUAGACAUAAACAUUUGGUUUUGGAAUUCGAUCUGAUUCGAAAAAAUAAUUUAUUUGUAGUAUUGUUACCUUUCAAUUUGAGUUCGUUCACAAAACAGGUCAAUACCUGUUUUUUGAAUUUAAUAAAUCCUACGUUUGAAAUCUAA